rnacentral:rRNA from 1 species
UAUGUGAUCGUCUCUCGCAUAUCAAUAAGCGGAGGAAAAGAAACUAACAAGGAUUCCCCUAGUAACGGCGAGUGAAGCGGGAAGAGCUCAAAUUUGAAAUCUUAAAGGGUUUCCCUUUACGAAUUGUAGUUUAAAGAAGUGUUUUCUGUUGAGGUUUUGGUAAAAGUUCUUUGGAAUAGGACAUCAUAGAGGGUGAGAAUCCCGUAUUUGACCUUUACUUUCAACUUUGUGAUACACUUUCAAGGAGUCGGAUUGUUUGGGAAUGCAGUCCAAAAUGGGUGGUAAAUUUCAUCUAAAGCUAAAUAUUGGCGAGAGACCGAUAGCGAACAAGUACCGUGAGGGAAAGAUGAAAAGAACUUUGAAAAGAGAGUUAAACAGUACGUGAAAUUGUCAAAAGGGAAGCGUUUGACACCAGUGUUGUUUUUCUGAAAAUCAAUUAAAGAACUGUUUUAUGCUAAGCUGUUUAGACUUUAUCAGCUAUCUGUUUAGUUUUGAGCUUUUCUUUAAUGCACUUUUCAGUUAACAAGUCAACAUCAAUUUCUUUUGCUGUAAAAAAGCUUGAGGAAGGUGGCUUGAGAUUCGUCUUAAGUGUUUAUAGCCUCUUGCCUAUGCAGUCGGAGAGAUUGAGGUCUGCAGCGUAGAUCCUUCGGGGCUAAAUGCAUUUGUGCUAAGUUAUAGCAUUUUAUAGACAACUUGUUGACUAUGAUUUGUCUUGUAGCUUACUCGCUUAUGUUAUUUUACCUACGCUUAGGAUGUUGACGAGACUGUCGAUCUC